AACGCAACCUGAUUAAGCUUGUGCGAGGGCAGCUAAAUGUCUGUCCUGCGUCAAGAUAUGUAUCGUCAUGUUCUGGAACAGCUCGGCUUUCGGCCAACUGUUUUGUCAAAAUUUCUGCAAAGUAGUACCUACACGUCUCAAGCGACAGAAAUCAAAAAUGGAUUUAACGUAUGUCCUGGAUUUUGCGUUCAUUAAAAAACAACUUAUCAUCUACCAACAACAAAACUUAAUUGCAUAACUUGGACUGCCAGAGGUAUGUGAACCAUGCAUCAGGGACUUUGUCAACUUGAGACUUCAAUGGAGCUUUUUUAGUAACAGAUCAGUAUAGCCAGAAAUGUUCAUUCGAUACAAUUGUACUUAAUUUAAGCUCGUAUAGUAACAUAAAAAACCAAAAAGAUAAAUUAAA